AGAGUUUGAUCCUGGCUCAGAAUCAACGCUGGCGGCGUGCCUAACACAUGCAAGUCGAACGCGAAAGGGGAGCAAUCCCUGAGUAGAGUGGCAAACGGGUGAGUAGCACGUGGGUGACCUGCCUUCGAGUGGGGGAUAACGUCCCGAAAGGGACGCUAAUACCGCAUGACAUCCUGCUCUUGGACGAGCGGAGAUCAAAGCCGGGGAUCGCAAGACCUGGCGCUUGGAGAGGGGCCCGCGUCUGAUUAGCUAGUUGGUAGGGUAAUGGCCUACCAAGGCAACGAUCAGUAUCCGGCCUGAGAGGGCGGACGGACACACUGGGACUGAGACACGGCCCAGACUCCUACGGGAGGCAGCAGUGGGGAAUUGUUCGCAGUGGGCGCAAGCCUGACGACGCAACGCCGCGUGGAGGAUGAAGAUCUUCGGGUCGUAAACUCCUGUCGAGCGGGAAGAAUUCCUGGCCGGCUAGUAUCCGGCCGGGUUGACGGUACCGCUAAAGGAAGCCCCGGCUAACUCCGUGCCAGCAGCCGCGGUAAUACGGGGGGGGCAAGCGUUGUUCGGAAUUACUGGGCGUAAAGGGCUCGUAGGCGGCCAACUAAGUCAGACGUGAAAUCCCCAGGCUCAACCUGGGAACUGCGUCUGAUACUGAUUGGCUUGAAUCCGGGAGAGGGAUGCAGA
rnacentral:rRNA from 1 species